rnacentral:sRNA from 1 species
ACGACUUUGUAAUAAUGUGCAACAAUAUCUAUCAUUAUAAUCAUCCAAUAAUAAUUAAAAGUCAAAAAGUCAAAAAAAACUUAGUAGUAACGUGUUUCUAGGAUAAAAUUACAAAUUGAAUUCUAAAAUAACACUGUCUAGUAAUCACCUUUUUCCCGCUAAAAUAUAAAAAUCAUACAUAAAGUGAAAUUAAAGACUUUACAAAGAGAAAAAAUCUACAAUUGAGCAAUCUUGACAAAAAAAAAAGGACAAAAAAAAAGUUACAAUACAUUAGUAAACGGAAUGAUAUGAGAAAGGUUAAAGAAUCCAGAGCACCAUUAGCGCACGCCAAUGCCUUCUAAGCCUUCUCGAAGAGAUGAAGUUUCACAGGUCACGAUCCACCAUUUUGAAA